rnacentral:rRNA from 1 species
UACGAAGGGGGGCUAGCGUUGCUCGGAAUCACUGGGCGUAAAGCGCACGUAGGCGGAUUGUUAAGUCAGGGGUGAAAUCCUGGAGCUCAACUCCAGAACUGCCUUCGAUACUGCGGGUCUCGAGUCCGGGAGAGGUGAGUGGAAUUCCUAGUGUAGAGGUGAAAUUCGUAGAUAUUAGGAAGAACACCAGUGGCGAAGGCGGCUCACUGGCCCGGUACUGACGCUGAGGCGCGAAAGCGUGGGGGAGCAAACAGG